ACUUACUUCUAUUUUUCAUUUAUGUUAUACUGGUUAAAUUGUUAUUUCUGGCAGACAAUGCUGGUGAAAUAUUUUAUUUAACCAAAUUGUAUUAGCAAGCAUGAUAACAUGGUAAAUAAGAAUAUACAGUCAAUAUUAAUAUUCUCCUUGAAGUCUAUAUUGUUCCUCAUACUUUGCUUCAGUUCACUUUUAAUUCCUAAGAAGGUUUUUUUUUUCCUUAGCUUCUUAAGAAUGAACAUUGGGAAUCCUGAUAAUAACAAUACCUUUGACUCAACUGGUUUUAAUAUUUAUAGAGCAUUUACACAUACAUUAUUUUCUUUGGUAAAGAGAUGGUUACAGCCUACAUUGGUGUUGACAAAAUAGGAUGACGUAGAAGGAGUGAUCAAGAUGGCGGAGUAGGAAGCCCCUGAGCUUACCUGCUCCCAUGGCACACCAAAGUUACAACUAUUUACAGAGCAACUGUCUCUGAGAACGACCUAAAGACUAACAGAGAAGGUACUCUACAAUUAAAGAUAUAAAGAAGAAACCACAACAAGAUGAGUAGGAGGGGCAGAGGUGUGGUCUUGUCAGGACCCACACUUAAGGGUCCUUAAGUAGGAGGAAAAUCACAACAAUGGAAAUCCUCCCCGAGGACUGAGGGGUCAAGCCCCACAUCCACCUCCCCAUCCUGGGGGUCCUAAACCAUGAAUACAAGUGCCCAAAAUGUCUGACUUUGAAUACCUGUGGAACUUAUGUUUGGGAGAGCCAGAGAGCUGUAGGAUACCAAGACUUUGCUCUUAAAGGUGUGCACAGAAACUUACUUGCUCCAAGUCCCAGCACAGAGACAGCAGUUUGACAGGUGUCUGAGUCAGACCCACUUGCUUAUCUUGGAGAGCCUCACUGAGAGACAGGAGGCAGCUGGAAUUCCCCCUGGAAGUGAGAUGCUGGCGGCAGCCAUUUUCGUGAUCUCGUUCUACCACUCCACCACCUUCACUGGAGGGCACCAUAUUGGAAUCCUCCCUCUAGCAUAUUAGCUCUGGGGACCAGCACAGCCUACCAGCAAUCAUGCAACUUGUAGCAUUUGCAUGCUGACAGGUUGCACAGCCAACAGUGCUGGGGAGCCUAUCAUGCCCACCAGUGUGCCCACAGGAGUUGGCCUCACACACAAUAAAAGGGCACAAAGAGUCCACAUAGGGGACACCCCUGGAGCAUCUGGCUCUGGUAGCCAUAGGGAAGCUUGCUGCUGGGCCCCAUAGGACAUCUACAUAAGGCCACUUUUCUAAGAUUGGGAGAUGUAAUGGACCUACCUAAUACAUAGAAAUAAACAGAGAAUUAGGCAGUAUGAGGAGACAGAGGAAUAUGUUUCAAAUGAAAGAACAAGAAAAACUCUCAGAAAAAGAGCUAAAUGAAACAGAGAUAAGCAAUCUACCUGAUAAAGAGUUUAAGGUAAUGAUCAUAAAGACGCUUACUGAACUCUGGAGAAGAGUGGAUGAACACAGUGAGAACUUCAACAAAGAGUUAGAAAAUAGAAAAAAGAAUCCAUCAGAACUGAAGAAUACAAUAACUGAAGUGAAAAGUACAUUAGAGGGGAUCAACAGUAGAUUAGAUGAUACAGAAGGACAGAUCAGUGAUCUAGAAUACAGAGUACUAUAAAUCACUCAAACUGAACAGAAAAAAAGAAAAAAAGAAUUUUUAAAAUGAGGAUAGUUUGAGGGACUUUUGAGACAACAUCAAGUAUACUAACAUUCACAUUAUAGGGGUCCCAGAAGGAGGAGAGAGAGAGAAAGGGGCAGAAAAUAUAUUUGAAGAAAUAAUGGCUAAAACUUCCCUAAUCUGGGGGAUGAAAGAGAUAUUCAGGUCCAGGAAGCAUAGAGAGUCCCAAGAAAGAUGAACUCAAAGAGAUCCACACCAAGACAUAUCAUGAUUAAAAUGACAUAAGUUAAAGAUAAGAGAGUUUUAAAGGCAGCAAAAGAAAAGCAACACUAGUCACAAUCGUGGGAAUUCCCAUAACGUUAUCAGCCAAUUUUUCAGCAGGAAUUUUACAGGCCAGAAGGGAAUGACAUGCUGUAUUUAAAAUGCUGAAAGGAAAAAUCUUACCACCAAAAAUAUUCUACCUGGCAACAUUGUCAUUCAUAAAUGAAGGAGAGAGAAAGAAUUUCCCAGACAAGCAAAAACUAAGAGUUCAUCACCACCUUACAAGCUGGUUCAUAAACCAGCCUUACAAUAAAUGUUAAAGGGUCUUCUUUAAGUGGAGAAGACAAGGUCAUAUCUGGAGAUAAGAAAGUAUAUGAAAGGAAAACUCUCACUGCUAAGGCAAAUAUAUAGUAAAGGCAGUGGAUUGUCACUUAAAAAGUGAAUGUUAAAUGACAAAAGUUGUAAAAUCAAGUAUAACUACAGUAAGUGUUAUUUGUGUAUACAAAAUAGAAAGAUGUAAGUAUGACAUCAAAAACAUAAAACAGGGUUGGGGGGGAGUAAAAACAUAGUUUUCAGAAUGUGUUUGAACUUAAGUGACUAUCAGCUUAAAGCAAUCUGCUGUGUAUAUAGGUUCAUGCAUAUAAACCUCAUGGUAACCACAAACCAAAAACCUAUAAUAGCUACACAAAAAGUAAAGGGGAAGGAACUGAAACACAAAGCUAAAGAAAAUCAUCAAACCAUGAGGGAAGAGACUAAAAGACGAAAGAAACAGACAAGAACUACAAAAGCAACCAGAAAACAAUUAACAAAAUGACAAUAAAAGUGCAUACCUAUCAAUAACCACUUUCAAUGUAAAUGGACUAAAUGCUCCAAUCAAAAGACACGGGAUGGCUGAAUGGACACAAAAACAAGACCCUUCUAUAUAUGCUGCCUACAAAAGAUUCACUUCAAACAUACAUGCACUGAAAGUGAAAGGAUGGAAAAAUAUGUUCCUUACAAAUGGAAACAAAAAGAAAGCUGAGGUGGCAGUUCUCAUAUCAAGGAAAAUAGACUUUAAAACAAAGACUUUAAGAGAAGACAAAAAAAAAAAAAAAAGGUGUUACAUAAGGAUAAAGGGAUCAAUCCAAGAAGAGGAUAUAACAUUCAUAAGUAUUUAUGCACUCAACAAAGGAGCACCUAAAUAUAUAAAGCAAGUAGUAUAGGAAAAUUGACAAUAAUACAAUAGCUAGGGACUUUGAUACUCCACUUACGUCAGUGGAUAGAUCAUCUACACAGAAAAUUAAUAAGAAAAUAUUGGCCUUAAAUGACACAUCAGACUUGAUAGAAUUAAUAGACAUAUAUAGAACAUUCCAUUCAAAACCAACAGAAUACACACUCUUUUCAAGUGCACGUGAAAUACUCUCCAAGAUAGAUCACAUGCUAAGCCACAAAACCAGUCUCAGUAAAUUUAAAAAGAUUGAAAUCAUAUCAAGCAUCUUUUCCUAUCACAACAGUAUGAAACUAGAAAUCAGUUACAAGAAGAAAAAUGGAAAAAACACAAACAAGUGGAGGCUAAACAACAUGCUACUAAACAACCAUUGGGUCACUGAAGAAAUCAAAGAGGAAAUUAAAAAAUCCUGGGACAAAUGAAAAUGGAAACACAAUGAUCCAAAAUCUUUGCAUUGCAGCAAAAGCAGUUCUAAGAGGGGAGUUUAUGGUGAUACAGGCCUAUAUCAAGAAAUAAGAAAAAUCUCAAAUAAACAAUAUAACCUUAUACCUAAAGGAACUAGAAAAGAGGAACCAACAAAGCCCAAAAGUAGUAGAAAGAAGGAAAUAGUAAGGAUCAGAGCAAAAAUAAAUGAAAAAAAAGACUUAAAAAAAAACAGUAAAAAAAGAUCAGUGAAACUAAGAGCUGGCUUUUUGAAAAGAUAAAAUUUUAUGAAGCUUUAAGCCAUACUCAUCAAGAAAAAAAGAGAAAGGGCCCAAGUAAAUGGAAUAAGAAAUGAAAGAGAAGUUACAAUUGACACCACAAAAAUACAGAGGAUCAUAAGAGAUUAUUACUAACAGUUAUACACCAGCAAAUUCGACAACCUAGAAGAGAUACAUAAAUUCUUAAAAACACACAAUCUUCCAAGACUGGAUCAGGAAGAGAUAGAAAAUCUGAGCAGUCCAAUUACUGGAAGUGAAAUUGAAUUAGUAAUCAAAAAUCUCUGAACAGACAGAAGUCUGGGAGCAGAUAGUUUCACAGGUGAAUCUACUAAACAUUUAAAGAAGAGUUAUUACCUAUCCUUCUCAAGCUAUUCCAAAAAAAUAGAAGAAGGAAUACCCUCAAAUUUGUUCUGUGAGGCCAGAUUUACCCUGAUACUAAAACCAGUCAAAGACACUGGAAAAAAAAAAAAUACAGGACAAUAUCCCUGAUGAACAUAGAUGCAAAAAUCCUUGACAAAAUACUAGCAAAAUGAAUUCAGUAGUACGUUAAAAGGAUCAUAGGCCACAAUCACGUGGGAUUUAUCCCAGGAACGCAAGGAUGUUUCAAUAUCCACAAAUUAAUUUAACAUGAUACGCCACAUUAGCAAGACAAAAGAAAAAUAUCAUUUGAUUACCUCAAUUGAUGCAGAAAGAGCAGUUGACAAAAUCCAACAUCCAUUUAUGAUAAACACUCAACAAAGUAGGUGUACCCAAGAUAAUAAAGCCACAUAUAACAAACCCACAGCUAACAUCAUAUUCAAUGGAGAAAAACUUAAGGCUUUUCCUCUAAGGUUAGAAACAAGACAGGAUGCCCACUCUCACCACUUUUAUUCAACAUUGUAUAGGAAGUCCUAGCCACAGCAAUCAGACAAGAAAAGAGGUAAAAGGCAUCCAAAUUGGAAAGGCAAAAGUAAAACUGUCAUAUUUAUGUAUAACAUGAUGCUACAUAUAGAAAAGCCUAAAGACUCCAUGGAAAAAAUGUUAGAACUGGUAAAUGAAUUCAGUAAGUGGUAGCAUACAAAAUCAAUAUACAGAAAUCUGUUGUAUAUCUAUAUAUUAAGAAUGAACUAUCAGAAAGAGAAAUUAAGAAAGCAAUCCCAUUUACAAUUGCAUCAAAAAAAAUAAAUUUAACCAGGGAGGUGAAAGACCUAUAAUCUGAAAACUAUAAGACACUGAUGAAAGAAAUUGAAGACAACACAGACAAAUGGAAAUAUAUUCUGUGCUCAUAGAUUGAAAGAAUUAAUAUCGUUAAAUUGUCCAUACUACCCAAAGCAAUCUACAGAUUUAAUGAAUCCCUAUCAAAAUACCAAUGGCAUUUUUUAAAGAACUGGAACACAUAAUCUUAAAAUUUUCAUGGAAACACAAAAGACCCUGUAUAAACAAUCUUAAGAAAGAAGAACAAAAAAAAAAGAAAGAAAGAAAAACAAAGCUGCAGGUUAUCACUCUCUUUGAUUUCAAACUAUACCACAAAGCUUUACUAAUCAAAACUGUAUGUUACUGGCACAAAAACAGACACACAGAUCAAUGGAACAGAAUAGAGAGCCCAGAAAGAAACCCACACACUUAUGGUCAACUAAUUUACAAUAAAGGAGCCAAGACUAUACAGUGGGGGAAAGACAGUCUCUCUUCAAUAAAUGGUGUUGGUAAAACUGGACAGGUAUGUGGAAAAACAUGAAACUGGACUACUUUUAGUAGUCUAAACUUUUAAACUUCAUUUAUUUACUUAUUUGUUUGUUUGUUUGUUUAUUGGCUGUGUUGGGUCUUCGUUGCUGCGUGCGGGCUUUCUCUAGUUGCAGUGAGUGGGGGCUACUCUUCGUUGUGGUGCGCAGGCUUCUCAUUGCGGUGGCUUCUCUUGUUGUGGAGCAUGGGCUCUAGGUGCACAGGCUUCAGUAGUUGUGGCACAUGGGCUCAGUAGUUGUGGCUCACGGGCUCUAAAGCACAGGCUCAGUAGUUGUGGCGCAUGGGUUAGUUGCUCCACGGCAUGUGGGAUCUUCCCAGACCAGGGCUUAAACCCGUGUCCCCUGCAUUGGCAGGCAGAUUCUUAACCAUGGUACCAGGGAAGUCCCAAAACUUUUAAACUUUUAAAAUGUAAGAUUUAUUUCUCAUCUCCCUAUAGCACACUGAAAUAGUCAUUGAAAGCUCGUAAACAUUUAUAUAAGGCAAGGAGUAAUUAAUGGCUGAUUUCAUUUAUUUAUUUUAUUCACUAGUGCAACCCUUAUAAAAUGAAAGCUAGUAAAAUAUUGUAGUGGAUUGACCUAUUAUAUAUUUCAUGAAUUUUACUCAGAAGUUUAAGUCAUGUGUAUCUAAAGUGAUACAUAAAAAUGGAAGGGAAAUGACUGAUUAUGUAUUCUAAGGAUUCUUUUCAAUGUAUGGCACUCUGGAAAUGCUUUGUGAUUUCAAAUCUGUUCUCAACUUUUGUUUAAAAGGGCAAAAAGGAGGAAGAAAGGGCUAAGGGAGAAAACUGUCAAGAUAUUUCACAACUCUUACUUUCAAAACAGUGUCUAAAAUUCUUGUGGAAAUUUUCUUAGAAUUUCGGUAAGUCUUUUAUAUCAAGAAAAAGACUGGUAUAGCACGAAGACCUUGUCCACUGAUGUUAGGGAAAGCCUUUAUCCCUAUUGGCAGACUCAGGCCUUAAGGCCUACGUCAUAUGAUUUAAAUAGGCAAUAGCCUUUUUCUAAGAUCAUGAAAUCAUUUCGCUGAAGUGUGAUUUGUUGCAUUUGGAUUGAUUGAACUGUGCUGAUCAUGACAUUACCAUUAGUAACGUAUUAGUUUUAGUGGACUGAACCGGGAGUGUAUUCACUAUCAGCCAUAUUCUUACAAAAUAAGCUUUACCAUUGUUUUUCUGACUUAAAAAAAAGUAAUACAUAUCACUUUAGGAUACCUUAUACAACAUAGGAAGUCUAGAGAAAAAACAAAAAUCAUCUAGAGUCUCACAGCCUGGAAAUAAACUAUUGAGGUGUUCUAGUGAAUUUCUCCUUCCCUUUCUGUCUUUUUUCUUGAAAAAGGAAAAACCAUAAAUGGACUCAUAUAGCUUACAUACUUGUAAAUGCUGAUUUGCCUCCCGUGUUUUCAGAAAUCUUUUUGUAGUUGCCUGUGCUCUACUUUUAUGGAUGUACUAUAAUUUACUUAACUCUCAUCUUGAUGGAUAUUAAGGGUAUUUCCAAAUUUUCUUGACACUAUGAAAGUAUCUAGUGUUACAUACCUUUAGUACAUACUAAAGGUAUGUAACACUAGAAAUGGCAGAGACGGUAUUUUAAGCCUCAUGAUACAUGUUGCCAACAUGUUUUCCAGCACCAUUGUAUCAAUUACUACUGCAGGUGAGAAUACCUGUCUUUCACCUCACAAGCUUGACAUCAUUAUAAUUCUAAAAUCUUUGGUAAUUCGAUGGUUAAAAAAAAUCAUCUUAAUUUUCAUUUUUGUGUUAGGGUAAAUGUUCUUUUUUAUAUGUAUUCUAUUGGUCAUAUUUUUGGGGGGGCCAUGCCUUGUGGGAUCUUGGUUCCCUGACCUGGGAUCAAACCCGUGCCCCCUGCAGUGGAAGCACGGAGUCCUAAACACUGGACCAGCAGGGAACUCCCUUCUAUUGAUCAUAUUUUAAGGAAUGUGAUCAUAAACCUAAAAAAAUAUUUUAGUGGCAAUUUUUUUUUGUAAAUAAUUUUUUAACAUCUUCAUUGGAGUAUAAUUGCUUUACAAUGGUGUGAUAGUUUCUGCUGUAUAACAAACUGAAUCAGCUAUACCUAAACAUAUAUCCCUUUAUCCCCUCCCUCUUGCGUCUCCCUCCCACCCUCCCUAUCCCACCCCUCUAGGUGGUCACAAAGCACCGAGCUGAUCUCCCUGUGCUGUGCCGCUGCUUCCCACUAGCUAUCUAUUUUACAUUUGGUAAUGUAUAUAUGUCCACAUAGUGGCAAUUUUUUAAUUAGGCUCAUCUUAGAACAAGUAAAUGUAGUGUGUGUGUGUGUGUGUGUGUGUGUGUGUGUGUGUAGGAGGUACCUAUAUACUUGAUUCACCCAGCCUGCGCUCACACUUAAAGGUGUUUUUGAUAAUAGUACCUAAAUAUUUGUAGAGCUCUUGCUUUGUGUGAUAAGCACUGUGCAAAGUACUCUACAUCUGAAAUCACAUUUACUUCUUUCAGGAACUCUAUGGGGAUAGAUACUGUUGUUAUCAUUCCCAUUUUAUAGACAAGAGACAGAGGUACAGAUUGGUUAGGCAAUUUGCCCACCAUCACCCAACUGUUUCUUGGUAGUACUGGGAUUUGAAACAGUGCUAUUUACCACUACAUUAUAGUGCCUCCCUGUCUUGAAAUUAUUUGGAAUGUGUUUUUGUUUUCUUUUCCCAAGAAGGGUGAACCUAUAUCUGGAUAUACACACUGAGUAAAAGAAACUGUUAUUUAUAGAGUAGAAUGUGGACCCACUUUAUUUAUUCAAUAAAUGUCUUUUGACAGGGUACCUACUGAUUACUAGGCACUGGGCGGUAUGCUAGAGAUGUAGAAGUGAAAUGUAAAUUGCCCCUGUCUUUGUAGCACUGCUCUGUGCCUUCUGUCACAUCUUCAGGAUAGAUAUGAAUCUAAAUCUACUUCUCCCUUGGUACGCUUUGUAGGAGGCCUCCUGUUUAUGGCCUGGGGAUUCCACCAACAGGAAAGCCCCCUUUUUCCCCACUUGCUGCUUGGUUUUGCAUUUUUAUAUCAAGAAAAAGACUUGGGGCUUCCCUGGUGGCACAGUGGUUGAGAGUCCGCCUGCCAAUGCAGGGGACACGGGUUCGUGCCCGGAUCCGGGAAGAUCCCACAUGCCGCGGAGCGGCUGGGCCCGUGAGCCAUGGCCGCUGAGCCUGCGCGUCCGGAGCCUGUGCUCCGCAACGGGAGAGGCCGCAAGAGUGAGAGGCCCGCAUACCGCAAAAAGAAAAAAAAAAGACUUGAAUCAAGUCUUUACAUGCUCUAAAGUAUUAAUAGUAACUCAGACCCAUGACUUUCUAAGUUUCUAGUUCCUUUUAACUUUUUCUGUACUUGACCUCAGGGGGUUUCUCUCUGGUUUUUCUAGCUCUGAGUGUCAUUCUUUUUGGUGAUCCAAGAUAAAACCUAAACCUUCUGUCAGCUAAACAUCCAGUUAUGACAGCAGAUUAUGCUUUCACUUUGAGGAGAAAGAGUUUCUUUAUACCAGAACUGUAUCUUGAACUGUAUCUCAGGAUGCCAUCGAUCCUACUGAGAAAGAAGCCUUGAGAAGACUUCUAAACUCUGGAAGCCAAGCCAAGGGGUCCCAAACGUGAUUAGAAAAAUCAUUCCGACCGAAGUAAAGAUGUAUACUAACUGCACCAGGAAAUUUCUGUCCACAAAGGUAAAGUAUCAUCAUGAUAGAUAUUAUUACAAAGAAUUCUAUUAAAUAAUCUUGGACUCCCAUUGCUUUCCCUUGGUCCUGUCCACAUAAUUAUCAAAUUCUGUUAUUAAAUCGUGUUUUUAUACACUGAUUUUAUUGUGGAAGGAACUGAACAAAACUAUAGUUUAGCAGUAUACUCUUUUGUAGAAAUACAGUUGCUAUUCCUUUGACCCUUUCCCAAUUCAAACGUCCCAACUUCCUGCAUAUAUUCUGAAGGUGUGGCACCAUCGACAAGACCAGGAAUGUUUGGAACCAAGGAAAGGAAGUUAGUGUGUUAGACAUCAUCUUCUUUUAUCUUUUAUAUUCAAAGUACUUCAAAGCCCAGGCUUCAUAAAGAUUGGGCUCUUUUAUUGCCGGGCCCUGUAGACUGGGAAUGUGAUUUCUAGUCAGUCUUCAUUUUGACAAAAUUAUUUCAUCGAAACAAGUUGGAUAGUGUAUGGAGUCCAUUAUAAAAUUAUUUUACUCUCCUUCUGGCAAGUAAUCAGUUUAUUAUUGGCAUUAAUAUUCAUUUUUAUCCAGCACCAGUUUCACAAAGCCUUCACUGUUUUUUUAAUGUGUGUUAAAUAUUUUUAAAAUAGUAGUUUUAAUUUAAUUUAAUAAAAAAUUUGAAAUUGUAAUUUUAUUUUAAAACUUAUGAGAUGUGCUUUAUACUGCAUUGGAGACAAUAUUGAUGUGCAGCUCAACAGAAACCAAAAACAUUCUAAAAUUACUUUCCGAGAGUUAUCAGAAGAUAGCACUGUAAUAAUAAAAUCAAACGUGUCUCCCUUUAUGAUUUUUUCCUUUUUUUUUUUUUUUUUUUUGUGGUAGGCGGGCCUCUCACUGUUGUGGCCUCUCCCGUUGCGGAGCACAGGCUCCAGACGUGCAGGCUCAGCGGCCAUGGCUCACCGGCCCAGCCGCUCUGCGGCAUGUGGGAUUCUCCCGGACCGGGGCACGAACCCGUGUCCCCUGCAUCAGCAGGCGGACUCUCAACCACUGCGCCACCAGGGAAGCCCCAAUUUUUUCCUUAUUUGUUGUGCAUUUUACCUCACUGCUUAACCUUCCUGUUUACCACUAACUCACUAAUCACUUAGUAAGGGAUCAUUUAAAUGUCAUGCAUUAUAACAGGCAUUGAGUUCAUGUAUUUUAGGGUUUUGUUAGGUGGACUUCAGCCUGUGUGGGUCUAUGUGGGCUUAUUGAAUACCAUCUUUGGGGUGUCAUUAAAACUAAGAUGAUAGUUUUAUUUGAUCUCCAAGUUGAGCCUGGUAAUUUCACUAGACUUCUUCUGCCACAGCCUGCAUUCUGUCUCGUAUGUGCUUUAUGUCAGUGACAAGGAGACAAGAAAACCUUAAUGGAGUAGCUAUUCAUAGUAUUAGCCACGUUUCUUCAGGUGGCUAGAGGGACAUGUCAUUUCUCUGUUCACAUGAAUCUGACAGAUUAAAUACAUAAUAGGGCUUUCUUAGGCUAGGGUAGACCCACACCUUUUAUUUAACUGGAGAAGAAGAUCUGGGAGUAACACUUCCCAUGACACAUUCCCCACCAACACACACACUCAUUCCAUAUUAGAAUGUCAGGAGCACUGAGGCAGAAGUACUUGUCUUUGUUCACUGUCAGCACUUAGAAUAGUGAUUGUCACAUAGUAGGUGCUCGAUCAACUGUUACUGAAUAAAGUAACCUCUACUCCUACCUCAAUUUGGUUGGUAUGACUUGGGCUAAUAAAAGGGCCCAGUACAUGGUGGGCACACAGUAAGUUUUUAUAGAGCAAGCAAAUGAACAACCUAUCUCAUCUCUGAGAAGAAGCUGGCUAGAUUUAAUUACUUUAUAGACGGUAUAAAAGGGAAACUUUUAGAAUUCCUAAUUUGUUGAAAAAACUUGACAUUGUCUCCCCAUAUAUUUGGUAUUCCCGUGUCAGGCAGCACUAAGUUUAUAAGUAUCUGUUAAAAAUGUAAGUACCAACCAUACCCAGUGUUGGUCAGAAUGUGGAGCAACAGGAACUCUCAUACAUUGCUGGCGGGAGUGCAAAACGGUACAGCCUCUUUGUAAGACAGUUUGGUGGUUCAUGUAAAACUAAAUGUGCUCUUUCCAUAUGAUCCAGUAAUCAUGCUCCUUUGGGUAUUUACCCAAAUGGAGUUGAAAACUUAAGUCCACACAGAAACCUACACAUGGAUGUUUAUAGCUGCUUUCUUCAUCAUUGCCAAAACUUGGAAGCAACCAAGAUAUUCUUCAAGAGGAUUAAUGGAUACACUGGGUGGUACAUCCCGACAACAGAAUAUUAUUCAUCACUGAAAACAAAUGAGCUGUCAAUCAUGAAAAGACAUGGAGGAACCUUAAAUACAUAUUCCUAAGUAAAAGAAGCCUAUCUGAAAAGGCUACAUACUAUAUGAUUGCAUCUGUAAAGCAUUAUGGAAAAGGCAAAACUAUGCAGGCAAUUAAAGACACAGACCUACUAGAGAAUGGACUUGAGGAUAUGGGGAGCGGGAAGAGUAGGCUGUGACAAAGUGAGAGAGUGGCAUGGACAUAUAUACACUACCAAAUGUAAAAUAGAUAGCUAGUGGGAAGCAGCCGCAUAGCACAGGGAGAUCAGCUCAGUGCUUUGUGACCACCUAGAGGGGUGCGAUAGGGAGGGUGGGAGGGAGACGCGAGAGGGAAGAGAUAUGGGAACAUAUGUAUAUGUAUAACUGAUUCACUUUGUUAUAAAGCAGAAACUAACACACCAUUGUAAAGCAAUUAUACUUCAAUAAAGAUGUUAAAAAAAAAAAAAGGUCAGUGGUUGCUAGGAGUGGGUGGUGGGGAGGAGAGAUGCACAGGCAGAGCACAAAGGAUUUUUAGGCAGUGAAGAUACUCUGUAUAAUAUACAAUAUUGGAUAUAUGGCAUUAUAAAUUUGUCCAAACCCAUAGAAUGUACAGCACCAAGAGUGAACCCUAAUGUAAACUAUGGACUUUGGGUGAUUAUGAUGGGUCAAUGCAGGUUCAUCCUUAGUAAAAAAAAAAAAAAAAAAGUAUCAUUCUUGUGAGUGAAGUUGAUAAUUAGGAAGGCUAUGCAUAUGUGGGGGAAGGGAGUAUAUGGUAAUUCUCUGUACCUCCCUCUCAAUUUUGUUGUAAACCUGAAACUGCGCUUAAAAAAAAGUCUUUAAAAAAUGUAAAUACUGUAUUUCCCCUAUUUUAUUUUGUGCAUUUAUUUCAGUACUUUUAGCUAAGGUCUAUCGUUGAAAGCAUGGGGAUUUUUGCCAGAAAAUCAUACCAGGAAGUUUGAUAAGAGCCUGCAGUUAAGAACACAUUAAAUUAUCUUAAUGCUAAAUGUUCGGGGAAUUACUUGAAUUUAUUUUCAUUGUUACAUUUAAAGUUUUGAUAGGUUUGAUAAAUAAGAACAAAUCCACUUAUUAAAGGAUAAGAACAGAUCACACACACAAAAAAAAAUCCUUAAGAUUAGUGGGUUCUGUGGCAUCUAUAUCAGAUUCCUGACCAUUUAGCUAGCUGGAAACAUGACAUCUGAACCUAGCAACAAGAUACUUUCUCCAAACUUGCUAUGGGACCUGCUAAAA